AACGAACGCUGGCGGCAUGCCUAACACAUGCAAGUCGAACGAGACCUUCGGGUCUAGUUGCGCACGGGUGCGUAACGCGUGGGAACCUGCCUUUAGGUUCGGAAUAACUCAGAGAAAUUUGAGCUAAUACCGGAUGAUGUCUUCGGACCAAAGAUUUAUCGCCUUUGGAUGGGCCCGCGUUGGAUUAGCUAGUUGGUGGGGUAAAGGCCUACCAAGGCGACGAUCCAUAGCUGGUCUGAGAGGAUGAUCAGCCACACUGGGACUGAGACACGGCCCAGACUCCUACGGGAGGGAGCAGUGGGGGAUAUUGGACGAUGGGCGAAGGCCUGAUCCAGCAAUGCCGCGUGAGUGAUGAAGGCCUUAGGGUUGUAAAGCUCUUUUACCCGAGAUGAUAAUGACGGUAUCGGGAGAAUAAGCUCCGGCUAACUCCGUG
rnacentral:rRNA from 1 species